rnacentral:rRNA from 1 species
GACGAACGCUGGCGGCGUGCUUAACACAUGCAAGUCGAACGGAAAGGCCCUGCUUUUGUGGGGUGCUCGAGUGGCGAACGGGUGAGUAACACGUGAGUAACCUGCCCUUGACUUUGGGAUAACUUCAGGAAACUGGGGCUAAUACCGGAUAGGAGCUCCUGCUGCACGGUGGGGGUUGGAAAGUUUCGGCGGUUGGGGAUGGACUCGCGGCUUAUCAGCUUGUUGGUGGGGUAGUGGCUUACCAAGGCUUUGACGGGUAGCCGGCCUGAGAGGGUGACCGGCCACAUUGGGACUGAGAUACGGACCAGACUCCUACGGGAGGCAGCGGUGGGGAAUAUGACACAAUGGGCCGAAGCCUGAUGCAGCAACGCCGGGUGCGGGAUGCCGGCCUUCGGGUUGUAAACCGCUGUCUCCUGUGACGAGGAGUGAGUGACGGUAAUGGGUAAAGAAGCCCCGGCUAACUACGUG